AAGAUUGUUCCAUGUGAAAAAACUAAGUUAUAGCAGUUUUCUGAUAACCAUUUUGAAAAAAAUCAUACUGUAAUAAAAAUAAUUUGUUAAAUUAACAUUCAUGAUUUCAUGUACUAAAUUUAUUAACCAAUGAUGUGUUUGUGUUUGUGAAUCACAUUAGUUUGUGCGUAACUAUAUAAAAAUUAUAAUAAACAAAUUAUAUGAACUUCAAUCCUGACAAAAGCAGAACGAAGGCGUAAAUUUGGUGAGUGUGGUUCUCACAGAGUAUUUGUAGUCAAUAUUAGUAAUGUAGUAAAAACUAGAACGCGUACUAUGCCAUGUAUCAUGAACUCCGAUCACGUGUUGUUAUAAACCAGGAUUAGGGAUGGUUACGUCCAACCCCUAUUGCACAAUCUGGUAGAGUGAGUUAUCAUUAGGCCAGGGUCAGAUUGGUGGAUUCCAAUCUAUUGCACGAUCUGGUUGUAAUGUUAUGAGGUGUGUCCCGGAUGGAGUCAGGGUAGUGACUGCCAUCCGAAGACCAGGAUUAGGGAGACUGUAAAGUUGACCUAUUGCACAAUCUGGUGGAGGUUAUCCAAUACUAAUCAAGGGAUGGUGGAUUCCACCCUAUUGCACGAUUGAGUAUUGAAGGAGCUGCAAGAUCAGGUCGGCGUGGAGGCUAACCAGGUGGGGUUUAGCGGGCUGACCAUUGCACGAUUUGUACAGUUCAGUGUGAGAGAUCUGGCUAUACAUGGUUCUUAAGAGUUAUUCUUGAGUUAAUAUUAAUUUACCUUUAAUGUUAAGUCUUGUAGUUGUUGACAUAAAUACUCAACAACCCUUUUUACUUCAUUACAGAAUGAAGUCUGAGCUGGUUGGUCUAUCCGCUGGAACGGCCUGACGAAAGAACUUCCUGACUUGUGAUUUCAAUUAUUAUUGAAAUGUAAUUAACGCCCCAAAUAAAAAUAUCUAUAUUACAAAUUAUCAGAAGUGGGAUAGACCAACACCAGACACCAGAUAAAGAAUUGAAGUUCGUAUUAGUAGAGAUUUCCGUUCUGUUAUUAUUCUCGUUUAAUAAUUUUAAAGUGAAUUUGAAAUUUGAAAAAUUAAAAUUGACAGCGUCAUUAAAUUAUAUUUGAGUGAUGGACUAAAUUUGUUAUAAGUGAGAUGGAAAGAGUUGGUUUGAAAACAGGUUCAAGUGUAUUACAUCGGAAAGAGGUGUUUCAAAGCAAAGGUUCAAAGUUUAUUGAAAACUAUGUUCAUUAUUAUUAUAAGAAAUUGUCAAUGUUGAAUGAAUUAGAAAUCUUUGGAAAACGAGAUGUUUCGUGUAUUAUCGGGGAAGUUACAGAUGUGUUAGUGAGAACUAGUGCUAAUGCAGGCCAGUAUGAAAGUCCGGAAAUGCUCUUAUGUUAUCUUAGGUGUUUGACGGAAACGCAAAUUUUGAAUACAGGAUUUCAGCGCAAGUCACAGGAGACAGUUAUUUGUUACAAUUGUAAUAAGCCAGGGCAUAAGACGUCUCGGGACGAGCCGAAUUUCAGGAUGGCCGAAUGUAAUAAAAAUAAUUUGUUAAAUUAACAUUCAUGAUUUCAUGUACUAAAUUUAUUAACCAAUGAUGUGUUUGUGUUUGUGAAUCACAUUAGUUUGUGCGUAACUAUAUAAAAAUUAUAAUAAACAAAUUAUAUGAACUUCAAUCCUGACAAAAGCAGAACGAAGGCGUAAAUUUGAAUGAAGUCUGAGCUGGUUGGUCUAUCCGCUGGAACGGCCUGACGAAAGAACUUCCUGACUUGUGAUUUCAAUUAUUAUUGAAAUGUAAUUAACGCCCCAAAUAAAAAUAUCUAUAUUACAAUA